GGAUGUUUGGAUCAUUACACCGCAACAGAAGCAUGUGGACAGACAUUCACUGUAAUGAUGGACAUCUGCUCAUGCACAGAAUUAGAGAUGUUUGGACGUUACACCCAGCCAACAGAAGUAUGUGGACAGACAUUGACUGUAAUGAUGGACAUCUGCUCACAAGUGGAGAGAAGCAAUAGUCUGAACUGGAACCCUGCUGCCAAAAAAUAAAUCUAGUCCUAAACAUUACAAAAACACAAAACAUGUUAGUAUUUUGACCGUAAGUUUCAUGCUAUAAGCCACCCUGAGUAAUAUAUUACUUGGAGAACCAAUCAUGACCCUUGUUUAAAGAGUGCCCCACCCCACCCGAAUAUAAUUUAUGUAAAAUCCCUGUAGGUCUGGUUCAGCAGGUUGAGUUGUUGUCAUUUCCGCAUAAAAAUACAAUUUAUUUAUAUGGUCUGUAUCAAAACGUUCCUUGGGAAUCUGAAAUAAAGUACCCUGUGCUUGUGAUACCAGUGUUAUAUGCAUGUUGUCUUGAAAAUUCUUCAUGUUGAUUCCUUUGCGUUUCCAGUAUUUCAGGUCUUAAAUAUAUUCUACAAACAAUUGCACCAAUAUUUUUUUUAACUGACAGCAAUCUUUAUGGAAUAUGAAGGAAAAUAUAAAGUACCAUUAUCAUUUUUCAUAUGAUCAACAAACAAAACACUUGAGGAAAUAUUUUUUCAAAGAAUCA